UUUUUUUUUUUCUUUUUUGUUUUUGCUUCUUUGUUUCUAUUAACCCAGGGAACCAAAAUGAUCAUCACAAAAUUGACCUGAGGAAUUUAUACUUUUCUUCUUCCCUCCUUUGAGUCUGGGUCUCUCUUCUCCUCCCUCCAGAUUUCAAAUUGGCUCCAGAUUUUAUAUGAGAAGCAGUAACAGAUCUAAAAGAAACAAACUGAGAAGGAAUUUAAGGAGCAAACUAACUGAUGAACUCUAAUCUGCUCGCUACAGGUUUGAGUGAAAAAUCCAUGCUAUGCUCAAGAAGAAUUCAGCCAUUCACAGAGGAGGUCAGGUCAGGCUGAUGUCUAUAUUUGGCAUCUCAAAAAAAAAAAAAAAAAUUACAUCAUUUAUACAUUCAACAUUUAGGGAACACUUUACCAAGAGUCUGGCUAGUUGUUACAGAUUAUCGAGUUGAAUAAAACAAGGCUUUUUCUGCCUCCAAGAUUCAAUUAGGUAACUGCCAACACCACCGCUCAUAUAUUUUCACACACCUGUCUUCUCACUGAAUCUGUAAUUUUUACUUAGGGCAAGAACAGUAUUCAUUUACAUAUGCUUAGUAAACACUAGCUGAUGAUUUACUAAAGGCUCCUGUGCUUUAUGAGUUCAUGGUGAAACAAAAGAGUUGAGCAUAUAAAUAGCAAAUUAAGAUUACAGGAUAAUACUGCUGCUACAGAGAAAAGAGCCAAAGCAUGGGGCCACAAAGGAAGCCUGCUGAGGCAGGGGUAGGCGUAACCGCAGAUGUGACACUGAAAUAAGAGUUGAAAGAUAAGGAGAACUCUAUCAGUGGAGGAAAAGUGAUAGUAGAGGGAACUUCCUGCAGAGAAAACAGCAUGUACAAAAAUAACUAAUAGCUAAUAAUUAUCAAGGACUUUUUGGGAGUUCCCAUCGUGGCGCAGAGAAACGAAUCCGACUAGUAACCAUGAGGCUGCAGGUUUGAUCCCUGGCCUUGUUCAGUGGUUAAGGAUCUGGAGUUGCCAUGAGGUCGAAUAUGCGGCUCGGAUCCUGCAUUGCUGUGGCUGUGGUGUAGGCCGGCAGCUGUAGCUCCAAUCAACCCCUAGCCUGGGAACCUCCAUAUGCCAUGGGUGUGGCCUGAAAAAGCAAAAAAAAAAAAAAAAAAAGAAUUAUAUGAAACAGGUUGAGAAUAUAUUAAGGAUUAAUUCAAUCAUAGUUAUUAUAUUUCAGGAAAGAAAUAGCAUAUAUGGAAUGCCUAUGCCAUAAAAUAAUUUUCAUAUAUUAUUUCAUCUCUACAGCAACCCUGUAGAGUAUAAAAACCCUAUGAUGCUAUCACUUUAAUCUUACAUUGAGGAAAAUGAGACUCAGAGGCAUUUAAGUAACUUGUCCAAGGUCACACAGGUAGCACUUAGCAGAGCCUGCUUUCAGACCAAGGUCUUUCUGAGUCCAAAGCCUCAGUCUCUGUUCUUUGCAGUUUACCUGCCUGCACCCCAGAUAAGUUCCAGUGUAGAAAAAAUAAGGAGGAAUCAGAUAUGCCCCAAAUGUCUGAGGUCAGUGUGAGGGACUAGAAAGGAAAGAUUGGAUCACAUUCACAUGUAGCUUGGGAUGUGUAUGAAAAAUGUUUGGAACAUGUGCAAGAUGAGGCAGGGGAGAAACCAAAAGGGAAGAAGACAGCCAACAGCAAAUGUCAUGCUCCUCAACUUCUCUUUCAGCUAAUAACACAAUAAUAGUAGAGAUGACUCAUAAUCAUAUUUCAGUCCUUGUGCUAGGAGUCUCCAAGGUAAAAAUCCCAUAUUGUAAUACCAGUGUGUUGUUUCCUCUUGAUCUUACUACCAUUAUGUCCCAGAAAAUGUUCCAAAACCUAACAGAGGAAGUUCAGAAAAAUCACAGGAAAUAUCUAAUCUCCUUUAUUCUAAGAAAUGGAAACAAACUCUUCAAGGUUAGUUCUUAUGUGCAUCAUUAGCAUCAAAGCAUGUUGGAAGAGGAUUCAGGUAACUAAUAAAGCAUAGAUGGCUUCAAAUCACCCUACAGAAAAACAAAAGCUCUUUCACAAUAACAUAACAAAAAAACUUGAUUUCUGGUGUUUUCCUCUGUCACACAGCUCCCCUAAACUUGGAACAAAUAGGCCUUUGCAUUCUCCAGUCAAUGCCCAGGAAACUUUCAUGCUGUAAAUGUUUUGAGUCAUGCAGUCAGCAGUCAGGUUAGGCACAAGUAGAAAUGGCAGCACAGAAAACCAAACCAAACAAACAAACAAAACUCUCCUUGGAAUAAAAAGUUCUCAAGUGAGGCACCAUACCAAGUUCUCCCACCUGAUGCCACAAGGCUGUGAACCCAGAAAGAUGCAUAGUCCAGGCUUAGAACGCAAACUUGGAGAAAGAAAACAAAGAAGGGGUGGCUCAGCAGACUCUGAUAGGGAGUGAAAUAAUCCUGCCUGUUUAAAUUUAUAAGGACAGUUUGAAAUUCUCUACUAAUACAUCCAUCCUCUUGUGAACUUUUCCGAAGUAGAACUAAUGGCAUAGAAGUUAGCAGAUCUCACAGAAAACUCAUUCCUAAGGGACCACCUGUAAACUCAGAAGUUUCUGUCUUCACGUGAUCAAAUGCUCAGCAGAACCCCCUCUUGCUCACUCACCGGCACUCAAAGUGCUUUACCCCUCAGCACCAAAACCCCCUGUGCCCAGCCUUUCCUCUUCUCUGCUUGGCCCCAGAAAGGCCUCAGGCAAUAGAGCUGCGGGACCCGGGGGAGCACCCCUCCCCUCCCUGCCAUCCCCAUUAUUCGGCACACAGCCCUGUUCUCCCCUGGAGCCAACAGUCUGCAGCUCCUUCAAUGCAGGCGCGAGCAGGCAAGAAUAGUGGGAAGAGAAGCUGUGCCAGCUGCAUGUUUCAGAAUCUCCCUCCAUAUGCAUUUGCCAAAGGAACAAAAAGAAAAUCAACGCCAGGAAGACAACUGAGAUGAGGAUGCGGUGGGACCGCGGCUGACUCCGUGCCUCUUAGCAGCAAGAGGCUGGCCAACCACGCGUCCGAGCCAUAGAUGCGAGUGGUUACCUUCAGGAUGCAGGCCAUGGCGCUCCGCCGGCCCUCCUGCCACCAAGCAGCCGGCGCGCCUGGGUCAGGGGCAGUCCCGGCGGCAGGCUGGAGGCUGGUACCGCUGCAGGACCGCUCCAGCCCACAU
rnacentral:lncRNA from 1 species